AUGCNAGUCGAGCGGGGGUGAUGUAGCUUGCUACAUUACCUAGACGGCGGACGGGUGAGUAAUGCUUAGGAAUCUGCCUAUUAGUGGGGGACAACAUUCCGAAAGGAAUGCUAAUACCGCAUACGCCCUACGGGGGAAAGCAGGGGAUCUUCGGACCUUGCGCUAAUAGAUGAGCCUAAGUCAGAUUAGCUAGUUGGUGGGGUAAAGGCCUACCAAGGCGACGAUCUGUAGCGGGUCUGAGAGGAUGAUCCGCCACACUGGGACUGAGACACGGCCCAGACUCCUACGGGAGGCAGCAGUGGGGAAUAUUGGACAAUGGGCGAAGGCCUGAUCCAGCCAUGCCGCGUGUGUGAAGAAGGCCUUUUGGUUGUAAAGCACUUUAAGCGAGGAGGAGGCUACUUGGAUUAAUACUCUAGGAUAGUGGACGUUACUCGCAGAAUAAGCACCGGCUAACUCUGUGCCAGCAGCCGCGGUAAUACAGAGGGUGCGAGCGUUAAUCGGAUUUACUGGGCGUAAAGCGUGCGUAGGCGGCUUUUUAAGUCGGAUGUGAAAUCCCUGAGCUUAACUUAGGAAUUGCAUUCGAUACUGGGAAGCUAGAGUAUGGGAGAGGAUGGUAGAAUUCCAGGUGUAGCGGUGAAAUGCGUAGAGAUCUGGAGGAAUACCGAUGGCGAAGGCAGCCAUCUGGCCUAAUACUGACGU
rnacentral:rRNA from 1 species